AUUGAACGCUGGCGGCAUGCUUUACACAUGCAAGUCGAACGGCAACAGGGAGCUUGCUCCGCUGACGAGUGGCGAACGGGUGAGUAAUGCAUCGGAACGUGCCGUGUAAUGGGGGAUAACGUAGCGAAAGUUACGCUAAUACCGCAUACGCCCUGAGGGGGAAAGUGGGGGACCGCAAGGCCUCACGUUAUACGAGCGGCCGAUGUCGGAUUAGCUAGUUGGUGGGGUAAAGGCCUACCAAGGCGACGAUCCGUAGCGGGUCUGAGAGGAUGAUCCGCCACACUGGGACUGAGACACGGCCCAGACUCCUACGGGAGGCAGCAGUGGGGAAUUUUGGACAAUGGGGGGCAACCCUGAUCCAGCCAUGCCGCGUGAGUGAAGAAGGCCUCGGUGUAAGCUCUUCAGGUGGAAGAAAUACGCAUC
rnacentral:rRNA from 1 species